CAGUCGCCGCGGUAAUACGAAGGGGGCUAGCGUUGUUCGGAUUUACUGGGCGUAAAGCGCACGUAGGCGGAUUCUUAAGUCAGAGGUGAAAUCCCAAGGCUCAACCUUGGAACUGCCUUUGAUACUGGGGAUCUUGAGUUCGGGAGAGGUGAGUGGAACUGCGAGUGUAGAGGUGAAAUUCGUAGAUAUUCGCAGGAACACCAGUGGCGAAGGCGGCUAACUGGUCCAUAUCUGACGCAGAGGUGCGAAAGCGUGGGGAGCAAACAGGAUUAGAUACCCGCGUAGUCCCUGUCUCUUAUAC
rnacentral:rRNA from 1 species